rnacentral:rRNA from 1 species
AUUGAACGCUGGCGGCAGGCCUAACACAUGCAAGUCGAACGGUAACAGGCAGAAGCUUGCUUCUUUGCUGACGAGUGGCGGGCGGGUGAGCGAUGUCUGGGCAACUGCCUGAUGGAGGGGGAUAACUACUGGAAACGGUAGCUAAUACCGCAUAGCGUCGCAAGGCCAAAGAGGGGGACCUUCCGGCGUCUUGCCAUCGGAUGUGCGCAGAGGGGAUUAGCUAGUUGGUGGGGUAACGGCUCACCGAGGCGACGAUCCCUAGCUGGUCUGAGAGGAUGAUCAGCCACACUGGAACUGAGACACGGCCCAGACUCCUACGGGAGGCAGCAGUGGGGAAUAUUGGACAAUGGGCGCAAGCCUGAUGCAGCCAUGCCGCGUGCAGGAAGAAGGCCUUCGGGUUGUAAAGUACUUUUAGCCGGGAGGAAGGGAGUAAUGUUAAUACCGUUGCUUAUUGACGGUACCGGAAGAAGAAGCACCGGCUAACUACGUG